rnacentral:lncRNA from 1 species
CAAACUCUCCUUUUCCUUUUUAUUGACAAGCUUUUUUCUUUUUUUAUCUCUCCGAAAGGCACUGGAAGAUUUUUUUGUUGGGGAAUAUGGUGAAAGAUGUUUGAAAAAUAGUUUUAAAGAUGGAACCUGGACUUUGAGGUAAGGGUUGGGGAGGAAAAGGUGGGCCAUCAUGUACUAGGUUAUCAGAGGGGAUUCUUUUUGAUUUUGUAAUUUUAUACCUGGGUAUUUAAAGGAGGGGGUGCCAAACACAGUUCGAUUUCACUGGGGAGACGAG